GUGUUCACUUUGGCAGUACAAAUACAAAAAUUAGAAUGAUAUGAAGAAGAUUAGCAUGGCCCCUGCGCAAGGAUGAUGCACAAAUUCGUGAAGCAUUUCAUAUUUUU